GCCUCUGUGGUGGAAUUGGUAGACACGACAGACUCAAAAUCUGUUGCCCGCAAGGGCGUGCUGGUUCGAGUCCGGCCAGGGGCACCA
rnacentral:tRNA from 1 species